AACGAACGCUGGCGGCAUGCCUAACACAUGCAAGUCGAACGAGACCUUCGGGUCUAGUGGCGCACGGGUGCGUAACGCGUGGGAAUCUGCCCUUGGGUUCGGAAUAACAGUGAGAAAUUACUGCUAAUACCGGAUGAUGUCUUCGGACCAAAGAUUUAUCGCCCAGGGAUGAGCCCGCGUAGGAUUAGCUAGUUGGUGGGGUAAUGGCCUACCAAGGCGACGAUCCCUAGCUGGUCUGAGAGGAUGAUCAGCCACACUGGGACUGAGACACGGCCCAGACUCCUACGGGAGGCAGCAGUGGGGAAUAUUGGACAAUGGGCGCAAGCCUGAUCCAGCAAUGCCGCGUGAGUGAUGAAGGCCUUAGGGUUGUAAAGCUCUUUUACCCGGGAUGAUAAUGACAGUACCGGGAGAAUAAGCUCCGGCUAACUCCGUG
rnacentral:rRNA from 1 species